rnacentral:sRNA from 20 species
GUCAACAACCCGCCGUUAAGUUCUAGGACUCUAACGGGGGCUUUAAAAAGCCCAAGUUGACCAGCCUAAGUGUCUAGCGCACUACGUUAGAGGUAAGUGUUAAAGUUCCUACCGGGGGAUGCGUAGCUAGUCCCCCGCUCUAGA